UACGGAGGGGGCUAGCGUUGUUCGGAUUUACUGGGCGUAAAGAGCUCGUAGGCGGUUCGGCAAGUCGGAUGUGAAAUCUCCACGCUUAACGUGGAGGGGCCAUUCGAAACUGCUGUGACUCGAGUCCGGUAGGGGAGUGUGGAAUUCCCGGUGUAGCGGUGAAAUGCGCAGAUAUCGGGAAGAACACCCGUGGCGAAGGCGGCACUCUGGGACGGUACUGACGCUGAGACGCGAAAGCGUGGGGAGCGAACAGG
rnacentral:rRNA from 1 species